rnacentral:rRNA from 1 species
AAUCGAACCCGGAGAUAGCUGGUUCUCCUCGAAAUAGCUUUAGGGCUAGCCUCAUGGAUCAUUGAUGGGGGUAGAGCACUGAAUGUGCGCGGGGGCCACAAAGCCUACCAAACGCUAUCAAACUUCGAAUACCAUACAAUGCAGACCAUGGGAGUCAGUCCGCGAGAGAUAAGUUCCGCGGGCAAAAGGGGAACACCCCAGAUCAACCGCUAAGGUCCCCAAGUUCACGUUAAGUGGAGAAGGAUGUGGAAUUGCACAGACAACCAGGAUGUUGGCUCAGAAGCAGCCACACAUUUAAAGAGUGCGUAAUAGCUCACUGGUCGAGUGAUUGUGCGCCGAAGAUGUCCGGGGCUAAACGUGACACCGAAGCGAUGGGUGCGUCUGAAGAAGAUGCGCGGUAGAGGAGCAAUGUGCAGAGGCAGAAGCCGUAUCGAGAGGCACGGUGGACACUGCACAAGAGAGAAUGCCGGUAUGAGUAGCGAGAGGCAUGCGAGAAACAUGCCCGUCGAAAGCCCAAGGUUUCCUGGGGAAGGUUCAUCCGCCCAGGGUAAGUCGGGGCCUAAGCCGAGGACGGAAGUCGUAGGCGAUGGACAGCAGGUGUAGAUUCCUGCACUACCGAUGGAAUGAAGCAGUGACACAGAAGGAUAACUCGAGCAGGGUGAUGGUCAACCCUGUGCAAGCAUCAAGGUUGGGUUGUAGUGAAGUACGCAAUCCUAUAAGCUGAGGUGUGAUGCGGACCGAAAUUUCAGUAGGGAAGCGAGUGAGUUCACGCUGGCGAGAAAAGCUGCUAGUAUAUCCAAAGGUACCCGUACCGGAAACCGACGCAGGUGGGCGAGGAGAGAAUCCUGAGACGAACGGGAGAACCCUUGUUAAGGAACUCGGCAAAAUGACCCCGUAACUUCGGGAUAAGGGGUGCCUGCGAGAGCAGGCCGCAGAGAAUAGUCACAAGCGACUGUUUAGCAAAAACACAGGUAUCUGCGAAAGCGAGAGCUGACGUAUAGGUGCUGACACCUGCCCGGUGCUGGAAGGUUAAGGGAACAUGUUAGAGCAAUCGAAGCAUCGAACCGAAGCCCCAGUAAACGGCGGCCGUAACUAUAACGGUCCUAAGGUAGCGAAAUUCCUUGUCGGGUAAGUUCCGACCCGCACGAAUGGUGUAACGACUUGUGAGCUGUCUCAACAGGGGGCCCGGUGAAAUUGAAGUAUGGGUGAAGAUGCCCAUUACCCGCGACUGGACGGAAAGACCCCGUAGAGCUUUACUGCAGCCUGAUAUUGAGUUUCGGUAACUGAUGCACAGGAUAGGUGGGAGUCUGAGAGACAUGGGUUUCGGCUCAUGUGGAGACGGUGUUGGGAUACCACUCUUCGGUUACUGAAAUUCUAACAUAGCUCUGUGAAACCAGAGGAUGGACAGUGUCAGGUGGACAGUUUGACUGGGGCGGUCGCCUCCGAAAGAGUAACGGAGGCGCCCAAAGGUACCCUCAGAAUGGAUGGAAACCAUUCGAAGAGCGCAAAGGCAGAAGGGUGCCUGACUGCGAGAUUGACAAAUCGAGCAGAGACGAAAGUCGGGCUUAGUGAUCCGGCGGUAUUGAGUGGAAAAGCCGUCGCUUAACGGAUAAAAGCUACCUCGGGGAUAACAGGCUGAUCUCCCCCAAGAGUCCACAUCGACGGGGAGGUUUGGCACCUCGAUGUCGGCUCAUCGCAUCCUGGAGCUGAAGUCGGUCCCAAGGGUUGGGCUGUUCGCCCAUUAAAGCGGUACGCGAGCUGGGUUCAGAACGUCGUGAGACAGUUCGGUCCCUAUCCGGCGUGGGCGUAGGAUAUUUGAGAGGAGCUGUCCUUAGUACGAGAGGACCGGGAUGGACUGACCUCUGGUGCACCAGUUGUUCUGCCAAGAGCAUGGCUGGGUAGCUAAGUCGGGAAGGGAUAAACGCUGAAAGCAUCUAAGCGUGAAGCCCCCCUCAAGAUGAGAUUUCCCAUAGCAUAAGCUAGUAAGACCCCUUGA